rnacentral:rRNA from 1 species
GACGAACGCUGGCGGCGUGCUUAACACAUGCAAGUCGAACGGAAAGGCCCUGCUUUUGUGGGGUGCUCGAGUGGCGAACGGGUGAGUAACACGUGAGUAACCUGCCCUUGACUUUGGGAUAACUUCAGGAAACUGGGGCUAAUACCGGAUAGGAGCUCCUGCUGCAUGGUGGGGGUUGGAAAGUUUCGGCGGUUGGGGAUGGACUCGCGGCUUAUCAGCUUGUUGGUGGGGUAGUGGCUUACCAAGGCUUUGACGGGUAGCCGGCCUGGGAGGGUGGCCGGCCACAUUGGGACUGAGAUACGGACCAGACUCCUACGGGAGGCAGCAGUGGGGAAUAUUGCACAAUGGGCGGAAGCGUGAUGCAGCAACGCCGCGUGCGGGAUGACGGCCUUCGGGUUGUAAACCGCUUUCGCCUGUGACGAAGCGUGAGUGACGGUAAUGGGUAAAGAAGCACCGGCUAACUACGUG